rnacentral:lncRNA from 1 species
UUAGCUCUUGAUUCGAAUUGGAUUCGAAUCCGAUUCUUAAUUGAUCUAAUUUGAUUAGAUCAUGUUCUAAUAUGGGUUAGCCAAGAGUUGGCACCUAAUUGGCUUGGUUUGAGUCUAAUUGGAUUAGAUUUAAUAAAUCAUUCAAUCUAGACCGUUAGAUCUUGAUCUACCAUUGGAUGAAGACAUAAUGGAGAGUUGGUUUAACCCAAUUGGAUUGGGUUAGAUGAUGGCUAUCAUAAUUGACCAUUGGAUCUUAAUCCCACCAUUGGAUGAAGACAUAAUGGGUCAAGUGAAUGGCGCCUUGCAUUGGAG